rnacentral:rRNA from 1 species
GAUGAACGCUGGCGGCGUGCCUAAUACACGCAAGUCGAGCGAACGGACGAGAAGCUUGCUUCACUGAUGUUAGCGGCGGACGGGUGAGUAACACGUGGAUAACCUACCUAUAAGACUGGGAUAACGUCGGGAAACCGGAGCUAAUACCGGAUAAUAUUUUGAACCGCAUGGUUCAAAAGUUAAAGACGGUCUUGCUGUCACUUAUAGAUGGAUCCGCGCUGCAUUAGCGAGUUGGUAAGGUAACGGCUUACCAAGGCAACGAUGCAUAGCCGACCUGAGAGGGUGAUCGGCCACACUGGAACUGAGACACGGUACAGACUCCUACGGAAGGCAGCAGUAGGGAAUCUUCCGAAAUGGGCGGAAGCCUGCCGGAGCAGCGCCGCGUGAGUGAUGAAGGUCUUCGGAUCGUAAAACUCUGUUAUUAGGGAAGACCAUAUGUGUAAGUAACUGUGCACAUCUUGACGGUACCUAAUCAGAAAGCCACGGCUAACUACGUG